rnacentral:rRNA from 1 species
UACGGAGGGUGCAAACGUUGCUCGGAAUUACUGGGCGUAAAGCGCGUGUAGGCGGUUGCCAAAGUCGGGUGUGAAAGCCUUGAGCUCAACUCAAGAAUUGCACUCGAUACUUGGUGACUAGAGGACCGGAGAGGAUAGUGGAAUUCCCAGUGUAGUGGUGAAAUACGUAGAGAUUGGGAAGAACACCAGUGGCGAAGGCGGCUAUCUGGACGGUUUCUGACGCUAAGACGCGAAAGCGUGGGGAGCAAACAGG